rnacentral:rRNA from 1 species
AAAAAAGGUAAGCUACUAAGAGCGAAUGGUGGAUGCCUUGACUGGUAAAGGCGAUGAAGGACGUACUAGACUGCGAUAAGCUACGGGGAGCUGUCAAGAAGCUUUGAUCCGUAGAUUUCCGAAUGGGGCAACCCAAUGUAUAGAGAUAUACAUUACCUAUAUAGGAGCGAACGAGGGGAAUUGAAACAUCUUAGUACCCUCAGGAAAAGAAAUCAAUAGAGAUUGCGUCAGUAGCGGCGAGCGAAAGCGCAAGAGGGCAAACCCAGUGCUUGCACUGGGGGUUGUAGGACUGCAAUGUGCAAGAGGUGAGUUUAGCAGAACAUUCUGGAAAGUAUAGCCAUAGAGGGUGAUAGUCCCGUAUGCGAAAAACAAACCUUAGCUAGCAGUAUCCUGAGUAGGGCGGGACACGAGAAAUCCUGUCUGAAGCUGGGUCGACCACGAUCCAACCCUAAAUACUAAUACCAGAUCGAUAGUGCACAAGUACCGUGAGGGAAAGGUGAAAAGAACUGAGGUGAUCAGAGUGAAAUAGAACCUGAAACCAUUUGCUUACAAUCAUUCAGAGCACUAUGUAGCAAUACAGUGUGAUGGACUGCCUUUUGCAUAAUGAGCCUGCGAGUUGUGGUGUCUGGCAAGGUUAAGCAAACGCGAAGCCGUAGCGAAAGCGAGUCUGAAUAGGGCGCUUAGUCAGAUGCUGCAGACCCGAAACGAAGUGAUCUAUCCAUGAGCAAGUUGAAGCUAGUGUAAGAACUAGUGGAGGACUGAACCCAUAGGCGUUGAAAAGCCCCGGGAUGACUUGUGGAUAGGGGUGAAAGGCCAAUCAAACUUCGUGAUAGCUGGUUCUCUCCGAAAUAUAUUUAGGUAUAGCGUUGUGUCGUAAUAUAAGGGGGUAGAGCACUGAAUGGGCUAGGGCAUACACCAAUGUACCAAACCCUAUCAAACUCCGAAUACCUUAUGUGUAAUCACAGCAGUCAGGCGGCGAGUGAUAAAAUCCGUCGUCAAGAGGGAAACAACCCAGACUACCAGCUAAGGUCCCUAAAUCUUACUUAAGUGGAAAACGAUGUGAAGUUACUUAAACAACCAGGAGGUUGGCUUAGAAGCAGCCAUCCUUUAAAGAAAGCGUAAUAGCUCACUGGUCUAGUGAUUUUGCGCGGAAAAUAUAACGGGGCUAAAGUAAGUACCGAAGCUGUAGACUUGACUUUGUCAAGUGGUAGGAGAGCGUUCUAUUUGCGUCGAAGGUAUACCGGUAAGGAGUGCUGGAGCGAAUAGAAGUGAGCAUGCAGGCAUGAGUAGCGAUAAUUAAUGUGAGAAUCAUUAACGCCGUAAACCCAAGGUUUCCUACGCGAUGCUCGUCAUCGUAGGGUUAGUCGGGUCCUAAGUCGAGUCCGAAAGGGGUAGACGAUGGCAAAUUGGUUAAUAUUCCAAUACCAACAUUAGUGUGCGAUGGAAGGACGCUUAGGGCUAAGGGGGCUAGCGGAUGGAAGUGCUAGUCUAAGGUCGUAGGUGCUUAUACAGGCAAAUCCGUAUAAGAAUACACCGAGAACUGAAAGGCUUUUUGAAGUCUUCGGAUGGAUAGAAGAACCCCUGAUGCCGUCGAGCCAAGAAAAGUUUCUAAGUUUAGCUAAUGUUGCCCGUACCGUAAACCGACACAGGUGGGUGGGAUGAGUAUUCUAAGGCGCGUGGAAGAACUCUCUUUAAGGAACUCUGCAAAAUAGCACCGUAUCUUCGGUAUAAGGUGUGGUUCGCUUCGUAUUAGGAUUUACUCCGAAAGCGAAGAAACUUACAACAAAGAGUCCCUCCCGACUGUUUACCAAAAACACAGCACUCUGCUAACUCGUAAGAGGAUGUAUAGGGUGUGACGCCUGCCCGGUGCUCGAAGGUUAAUUGAUGGGGUUAGCAUUAGCGAAGCUCUUGAUCGAAGCCCGAGUAAACGGCGGCCGUAACUAUAACGGUCCUAAGGUAGCGAAAUUCCUUGUCGGUUAAAUACCGACCUGCAUGAAUGGCGUAACGAGAUGGGAGCUGUCUCAAAGAGGGAUCCAGUGAAAUUGUAGUGGAGGUGAAAAUUCCUCCUACCCGCGGCAAGACGGAAAGACCCCGUGGACCUUUACUACAGCUUGACACUGCUACUUGGAUAAGAAUGUGCAGGAUAGGUGGGAGGCUUUGAGUAUAUGACGCCAGUUGUAUAUGAGCCAUUGUUGAGAUACCACUCUUUCUUAUUUGGGUAGCUAACCAGCUUGAGUUAUCCUCAAGUGGGACAAUGUCUGGUGGGUAGUUUGACUGGGGCGGUCGCCUCCCAAAUAAUAACGGAGGCUUACAAAGGUUGGCUCAGAACGGUUGGAAAUCGUUCGUAGAGUAUAAAGGUAUAAGCCAGCUUAACUGCAAGACAUACAAGUCAAGCAGAGACGAAAGUCGGUCUUAGUGAUCCGGUGGUUCUGUGUGGAAGGGCCAUCGCUCAAAGGAUAAAAGGUACCCCGGGGAUAACAGGCUGAUCUCCCCCAAGAGCUCACAUCGACGGGGAGGUUUGGCACCUCGAUGUCGGCUCAUCGCAUCCUGGGGCUGGAGCAGGUCCCAAGGGUAUGGCUGUUCGCCAUUUAAAGCGGUACGCGAGCUGGGUUCAGAACGUCGUGAGACAGUUCGGUCCCUAUCUGCCGUGGGCGUAAGAAGAUUGAAGAGAUUUGACCCUAGUACGAGAGGACCGGGUUGAACAAACCACUGGUGUAGCUGUUGUUCUGCCAAGAGCAUCGCAGCGUAGCUAAGUUUGGAAAGGAUAAACGCUGAAAGCAUCUAAGCGUGAAGCCAACUCUAAGAUGAAUCUUCUCUAAGCUCUCUAGAAGACUACUAGUUUGAUAGGCUGGGUGUGUAAUGGAUGAAAGUCCUUUAGCUGACCAGUACUAAUAGAGCGUUUGGCUUAUCUUUAAUAAAGCAU